AAGAGCAAGGCCCUCAGCUGGCUGCACUCAGGGGCUCUGGACUCAGCAGGGCUUUCAUGUUGAGCUGUUUGCUGUGAAUUUGGCUUUUCCUGUAUGUGGCUCUGUUGAACCAUCUCAUCAGACAGGCCCUGAGGAGAGACCUGAUAAUAUCUCUCCUGUUCCUAGCAGGUCAUUUCAAGGUUACACUGGGAAUCCCAGAACUUCUGAGCUGAAAGUGUGGUAGGCAAUGACCCCGAUAUCUGCUAAAAGCUGCAAGAUGGUCCUGAUAAAUUUCAUUCUGGGUUGGCCCUCAGGCCACCUAACAGAGUGCUUCAGCACACAUCCUGGAGGCCCUGACCUUCCUGUAUCCAGACCCAGCCUUGACUCUGGAUCCACAAAGAAUGUCUCUGAGAGUGGAUGAUUCGGCCCUUAAGCCUGAGAGGCUGAGAGUGGGUAGGGCUCAGUGCCUGGAGCAGGGAAGAGUGGAGGAGGAAGCUCAGGAGGAAGUUUGCCUGGGAACCUGGCACAAAUGUUACUCAGGAUGCACAGUGGGGAUAUUUUCGUGUGUUCAGAGGGCAGAUAUGCGGAUGACUCAACGUUUUGCCCACGUAGUGCCUCUUGUUGCUUGGCUGCCUUAGCUGAUUGAAGUCAUCAGUGGAUAAUGUAGCAGGUGCAAAUGAAUUGGCUACUGAUGGUUUAUACAACCCUGGAGGACGCCCCUACUCUCGGCCUAAUAUGGACAGAAAAUACAGUUAUUGGACUACAGCAUCAAAAUACUACAGCCCUGUGGACGAUGAAUCAGAGCAUCUCCCUCACCCACAGAGACCACAGUGUUCCACAAGAAGGGAAGAUCUGCAGUAGCAAUUCCUGCGGCGGGGGGAGGCUUCGUGUCUCCCCGUCCUAAUUGCUGUCAGUUGCCCUGCACUGAGUGCUCACGAACAAGGAAGGAGGCACUGCGUGUGGUCAUCCCAACUCCUCACAGCUGCUGAAGAGAAAACUCUCAUCCAUAUAUGGUGUUCAAUGGGUUUAUAUGUUGAUGACUCCCAUCAUGUAUUUGCAGCCCAAAUUCUGACUCUUCUGUCCUCUGUCUAGAAGAUAUAUCUAUCUAUGUGUCCUUUACACUCCCUGGAUUCACCAUGGCCAAACCUCCUUUGAGAUGAAGUCUCAAUCUGUUGCCCAGGCUGUAGUGCAGUGGCGGGAUCUCGGCUCAUUGCAAUCUCUGCUUCCCAGGUUCAAGUGAUUCUUGUGCCUCAGCCUUCUGAGUAGCUGGGAUUGCAGGCAUGCGCCACCAUGCUGGGCUAAUUUUUUUUUUUUUUUUUUUUUUUUGACGUGGAGUCUCACUCCUGUCACCCAGGCUGGAGUGCAAUGGUAUGAUCUCGGCUCACAGCAACCUCCACCUCCUGGGUUCAAGCGAUUCUCCUGCCUUAGCCUCCCAAGUAGCUGGGAUUACAG
rnacentral:lncRNA from 10 species